CGGCGGCGGCGGCUGGAGUCGCGCGCCUCUGCCAGCCCGGAGGGUGUGUACGUGAGAGUCGCGCGCCCGAGCAGGAGGAACCCGGCGCGCGCGAGCCCAGCCGCGGGAAACGUUGACGAAGAACAUGUCCGAGAAGCAGCCGGAGUCGAUGAGCGUCGCUCAGCAAAUAGAUUGCCUAGAGGACAAGCUGUCCCACUGCAGGCAGGCCUUGGAAGAGCUGGAUUUUAAGCUGCAGAGAGAAGAACUGACGCCUGAGAGAAGAGAGUCAUUGGAGAGAGAGAAAAACCUGCUAGCAACCAAAGCUGAAGUUUAUGCUUGAUCAUCCUGAGCGUAUGGACAUGUGGCUUGGAGAAAUGCAAUCAUCUACUUAUCAGACCCUUGUCUGUAGUGAAUGGAAAGAGUUGCCAAGAGAACUGGGCAGGUGGGUGAUGGUGAAAGAAGACUGUGCUCCAACUCCUCUAAAAUAAGCUAUUAUAAGACCAUAAUUGAGGAAACCAUGCUUAGAUUUCACCACCAUAACUAGUCUUAACUCUUACUUUUCCAAGUAAAUUCCUAGAACAGGUGGUAGCAACAGUACUCCAGGGUUUCUUGGAUAAAGUUGAUUAUUUGGAACCUUCCAUUGGGUUCCGUUAGGCCUGGUUUUUGCAUUGAAACAGCCUUGGCAAGGGCUUGCUACCAAGAACCAGGCUCGGGCAAGUGCUCCAGCUGGUUCUUCCAGACUUCUCAGUGGCCUUCAGUACAAUCAGCCUUUUUUGGAAUGUUUGGCAAGUAUGGGACUUUGGGGCACUGUUCUGCAGUGGUUCUAGACUUAUUUGGCUGCAUGUUCACAGGUAGUGGUGUUUGGAAAUUCUUUAGGGUAUUAUUUUGUUCCCUGCCUUUUCUAAGCUUCUGGGGAAGAAGGUCAUCCAGAGUUUUGAGGCUGAGUCUCAGUAUUAUGCUAAUGAUGCCCAGCUCUCUCUAGUUCAGUGCUUGCCAAGAAAAUGGAACCUUUCUCUGGAUGUAAGUAAGGGAUUGGAUGUGAGCUAAUAAGCUGAGACUCCAGACAAGAGGUUCUGUUGGUCAGUAAACAAACCACUCUGGGAUUGGGGAACACAGCCUAUACUGGAUGGGAUUGCGUUCCUUCUGAGGGAUUAGGGUUGCUAUUUGCAGGGCUGAGUCUGGAGGAUUGGGGUGGUGGUUGUGGCAGCGAGCAGCACCUUUGCUGGGCCUUGCCAACUAUGCUGUUUUCUAGGAAGUCCUCCCAGCCUUGAGACUUUUACCAUUUCCCGUGUUCUUGAAAAGGCAGAAAUGGGAGAUCAUCAUGAGAGUGCAGGCAUAUCUUGGCAAAUUACUUGAUAAAUAUGCUAUAUCAAUACAAAAUAGUCGAAGCACUUUAGAUAUAUUUUCCAUGGCCGUCUAAAGUUAGCAUUUAUUAUUAUCCUCAUGUUACAGAUUUGGGAAAGGGUUCAGCAAUUGAUGCUUUCCUAAAGGCACCUGAUCAAGUGCAUGAGAUUUGAUGCAGGCACUUCUGCUAAUUCUCUUAAGCCCUCACUGUGCCUCAAGGGAAACAUUAGUAUGAAUUUAAAUGCAGCACUGACCUUUUGCACUUGCACUAGAGAGGUACAGUUCCUGUCACUUUAGCAGGAAUGCCACAGGAUGCUGUUGACCUCCAAAGGGGAUUUUAGUUCCAAGAUUUGCUGCAAGUGAAAAUACUCACACCAAAAAUCUACACCUUUAAGAGUGCAGAGAGAAUGUUCCUUCAGUGAAGCUUUACAAAUUAAAGCCAUUAGCCUCUUUCAUAAAAGAGGCUGGACCUUCCUACACAACAGGUCAAACACUGUUGAUUGAAAAUCCUGCACUGUGUUUGCUUUGUAUUAAAGGGAAUGCAAGGUUAUCUGUCAAAUCCCAACACUUCUUUUGUCCAUCAGAGGAAGCUGAUGGUUUGUGAUCUCACUUGGGAGCUUGGCUUGUACGUUUCUGGUUUUGUUUAGAAUGUAAUUUUUUUAAGGAAACAAUUUUGCGAUGGCGAGGCUUCUAAGUGCUGUGUGUCCCCUGAUGAGAAAAUAAAAGAUGCUUACACACUCAGUAAAUCUCUUCUGCAUCAAACAUUGGGAAGCAUAAAUAGUACCCUUAUCAUAAGAAAAUGGCUCCUGAGAAAUUGAAUUGGGUGCUGUUAAGGGAAUGAGAGUAUGUAUGUGACAGUGAGGAAAGAGCAACAGUUUGGGGAAAGCUGCUGAUCAAGGAGAACAGGUUGUUUAUUUUGUUUCAGACGGUGGUUACAAACCCCUGUCUUGAGUAGGCACUUGGGUAACAUCCUAGGUGUGGGAACUGACCAGCAGACAGUUGCAAUAAGCAGUUGAUGGAGAGGAGAGGCGAGAGCUCAUGUAUUAAGCCAGUGCAGCCUAGGCAGGAGAAACAAAAGCAUUAGGCUGCCUCAGCACCCCCUGAAUGCAAGGACACCAAGGAAUACAAGCCCUUAGAUGCUGCGGGUGAAUGACCGUGUCUCUCACUUGUCACCAUAGCAGGAAAGCUCCAGUUCCCUAAGAAAGUUCUCAGUAUUCUGUGCCUGGAAAAAUGCCUUUCUUCUCUCAGGUACAUCCAUUACAUUUGAAAUGGGUGUGUAUACCAUGGUUAUUCUAAGGAAGCUUACUGCCCCGAAUCACAUUCUUCUCUAUGGGGGGGGGGGGGAUUUUUUGGUUCUGUGUGUUUUUGCCCUCCCAGCUAAAGGUUAGAUACUCCCCACUGAAUUGCUACCCUCUUCUAAAGUGCAAAAAAAAAAAAAAAAAAAAAGAUAGCAUGGCCACCUUCCUUGCCAAGGUUCUGCCUCAUCAUGUUAUAAUCUUUCAUCUGAGUUCUAGACUAGACUAUGUAACCCUGUUCUGCAACAGUUACAUACUUUUAGGGAACAAUCCUAUAGCCCCAAGCUAGCACUUCAGUCUUGGAGCCGGGAAUCAGAACUCCAGCCUUCCUCUUCCUCACAAAUGUGGAGGGAGGGAAGCACAUUUCAGGGGGGAGGGGGAAAACAGCUGAGGCCAGGAUAUGAACUGUCCUAACACCUCUCUGGCUGCCUUCCUUCCACCUCCAAGACACCAGCUAAAUGGAAAAAAAAGGUUACUUGCGGGAGUGGUAGGGUGGGAGAAUGGGGAGGUUGACGGCCAUAAGACACUCAAACUGGGGAACUUGUGGCCAUUCUCAUAGGAAUGCCCCCAUAAAGAAAGCAAGUUUGCAGGCAGGCAGUCUCCUCUGCAGCAAGUUCGCAACCUCUUCUGUUCAUGCACAGAGACAACACUGCUGCUAGCUGAGCCCUGGGUGAGUGCUACUUGAAUGCUUGCUCUUUCUCUUGUUUUCUGGAAAGGCCCUGGUAAUAAUGGCUUUAUUAGCCUAUUAUCUAUCCUUGGCUAUUUAGGCUGUGCUGCCACCUGCUGGAUUAUUGUGCAUCUCAGUUGUACAGACCUUCCUUUUCUUUUUCUACUUCAAUUUGAAGCUGGGCCAAAUCCCUUAUGAUUGCACACCUCUAAAUGCAUGAAGGUCUACCCCAAAAAUGUUAAAGUAGCACAUUUUCAAACAAGCAUACAGGUGAAGACUCCUGGAACUGUGAUCUGCUGUAGCUCGGUCCCUGUUGUGUUUGCAUUUUGUGGACAACCCUGAUUUGGUCAUGUGUAAAUUGGCCCUUGGCAUUGUAAAGGGCCCAGCAAGAUCAUGACCAGGAGCCUCCCUUCACAGCAAAUGUGGUUUUACUGUCUUUUAUAACAAAUGCCUGGAAGACUACUUAAAAAUAUCCUUCAGAGGAGCAUUUUGUUGGCCUUCUUGCCACAGCAUAUAUUAAGAACAGUUUAGCACUGCGAAGUUCUCCUAAUGUUUAAUUAAAAGCCAGGGAAGGGAGCUGUGCCAUCCCGAUACAUGCAUGGUUGCAGUGAAAGCUACCUUUCAGCCAGGGGCUAGAGCCCUUUGCCUGCAUUUUAAUGUCAUGGGCUCAUCUUGUAAAGCUGCCUCCAUUAGAAAGCUGGCAAAUACAAAGGGACAGCCGCCUGAGCUGUUGUAUUAACACCCAAGUCUUCCCAUUAAAAUCAUAUUCUUCUGGCAGUUGCACGCAGAGCUGAGCUCUGACCUCUGUCGCCAAUGCAGUCAGCAACAAUGAGUCUAUUGUCAAAUAAGCAGCCGUGCAGUCUAACCUCACCCAGGAAUUACAAAAGCACUGAAAUGAUCUCUGAAUAAGCUUGAUUGCUGUACAGAAGCCCAGAGGUGGUGUACAAAAGCAGCUGUAGUGCACUGUUGAAUAGCCUUUGACUUAAUUGUGAGCUAGUAUUAAUUCAUCACAAUUAUAUCCCACCCUCCUUCCUCCAGGAAUAACCAAGGUUAACCUAUUUGAUCCUCUCAUAGCAGACUAGGCUAAGAUGCCUCAUAGAAGCAAGAUCCUCAGCUCUGGGGACCAGCUAGGCUUGUCAUUCCUGCAUCUCCUGCAGGGAACCUAUGGCAGUUCCUUAUGAGCAGAUGUACUGUCUCUUUAUACAGAACCUUAGCCGGCAAGUAACAUGAAUCCUCCUUUUCUAUAGUCAGGAAAGAUGCCCUGGCACCACAGAAAAAGCCUAGAAGAUCCCACCCAUGAUUCAGACCAGGUGGGAGUUAGUUUGUGGAACCUUAAGCCUAUACCACCUAGUUCCUUUUGAAGAAGCAAGCUUACCUCUGCUCAAGACACUCUCUGAUGCACAUCUACUUAUGAGUAGAUAUUAAAAAUAAGAAACAAAAUGCUUGCAUUUGUCAGUAAGAGUAGAGCAUUAUUUGUUCUUAAGCUAAACUUCAGUUGUGCAUAGCUCUUUUUCAGGUGGAUACUUGGUUCAAAGCAUUCAUAAGAAUGUUUAGUUGCUUAAAGAUUCCCAGGUAUCUUAAAAACUUGUAAGGGCACAAUCUUAUGCAUUUCUAGAUAGAAACUAGAAAUCCUGUAACUCCCAGCAAGCCUUAGUCAAAUGUGGCUUAAAUAAUUGGACUUAAAAACAUUUCAGCCAUCACAGAGCCUAAUUCAAAUGGGUGUGCUGUGGACAGAUGUUUUACUCCCACAUACCAAAAGGAAUCCUAACACCAAAGUCUUCUUGAUCAUAGAAUCAUAGUAGAGUUGAAAGGGAUCAUGAAGGCCAUUGGGUCCAACCACCUGCUCUUGCAGGAAACCAAGUUACACCAUCCCACUCAG